UACAGAGGUCCCAAGCGUUGUUCGGAUUCACUGGGCGUAAAGGGUGCGUAGGCGGCUUCUUAAGUCUGGUGUGAAAUCUCCCGGCUCAACUGGGAGGGUGCGCCGGAUACUGAGGGGCUAGAGUGUGGGAGAGGAAAGUGGAAUUCCUGGUGUAGCGGUGAAAUGCGUAGAUAUCAGGAGGAACACCGGUGGUGUAAACGGCUUUCUGGACCAUAACUGACGCUGAGGCACGAAAGCCGUGGGUAGCAAACAGG
rnacentral:rRNA from 1 species